rnacentral:lncRNA from 1 species
GAAUCCUGGAAAGAAGGCUUCUGUAUGACCAUGUUAAGGAAAAAGUCUACAGAAUAAAGGGGAGGCUUUACAUGAAAGAGAAGAAAACUCUGACUCCCACCUUCCCAGGCAAGAGGAGCUGCAUGAGAUAGUGAGCCAGAGACAAGAACUGAAGAAUGAGGCCCAGUCAACCUGUUGAUCUAAGAAGAUGACACAUGUGAUACAUACAGAGACAACCAACGCAACCAUUAGCAAGGAGAAGCCGAGUGCCUCCAACUGAGUCCACCCUUCAUCAGGAAAGCAAUAUCACCAGGAAGACCCAGCAUCCACAGAGAAGAAACAAAUGUGGAUCAGAGCAGCUGCAUGACGGAAUCCAUGCCAUCCAUUGUCCCCUGGGCUGCUCAGAGACAGUGAUGCGGAGUUCCAAGAUGCCUCUGCAAUAGGCAAGCAGCUGGGCUGGAGCACAAAGCCAGUGAUUUAAGGAUUACUUUGUGUGUUGCCGGUCGACCUGGAUUACACUGAAAGAGGAAGCAGCAGCG